UUUGACGUUCAUGUUUAUAUAAUUAGAUUACAACUAAGUUUGUGUAUGGCUUGUUUGUAUUAUUUCAGAAUUUGCUAUUUUAGACACUUGGUAUAAGCUGUCAUACUACACGUGGCAUGUGGUAUCCCACUAAUUAGCUAUUUUAAACAUGUGACAAGUGGUACGACACUGUAUUGAUGUAUGUGAAAUGUAUAGAGUCUUUCAGUUACCAGAUAAUGUCAAGGAGUUGACAGCAUGGUGUCCGAUUCAAAGUGCGAACCUGUGUACGAGUAACAACAGUAUUCAAAACCAAAACCUAUUUAAACCAACCAAACCAAAACUAGCGACCAA
rnacentral:lncRNA from 1 species